GGCUGUAAAGCUCACACCUCUUUCAUCAUUCUUUUUCUUCUCAAAGUUACAGGAUGCUCAUGAUUGGCUGUGGUAUGGAUUUGCAGGUGAGCAAAUGCAUAGAUAGAGUGUUAUGAUAUUUGAUCAGAGGAUAGAAAGAAUUUCAAUUAUAAUUAUAUAAGUUUUACUAAUUAUUAUUAAAAUUAGAUAUUAUGGAUGUUGAGGUUGUAAUGAAUUAUUUUUGGCCUUGCAUAUUCUUUAGGGCUUGCUCUAAGGAGUGUGCAGCCAUCACGUAUCCAACCCGGGUGUUGGAUUCGGGGCAUGAUAGUAUAGAUGUAUAUUU
rnacentral:lncRNA from 1 species